UCAAAGGCUGUUUCAUCCCACAUGGGCACGAAACAUACCACAUUUUACGGAGGAUGUAGCCCCAGAGGGAGGUGGAGGAGAAGCAUAAAUGAAAAGCACCUUUUCCUUCCUCUAGAAGGAAUGCCACAAAGGAGCUUUGAAUAUUGGACUAACCUCAAAUGUCCUUCCACUGUAUAUGCACAGAGAAUUUCUGACCUUGUGACGUUUGGGAGUGAGGAGAUCCCAUAUGGAGGCAUCCAGGUAUUUCCAGAGAUCCUGUGGCAGGUGAGGUCUGCCCCGGCUGGAGCCAACUCGUCUAUAAUAUCUUCCUAACAGCAGAUACUAUACCAGGUGAUGAAGAUAGAGUGAUGAAUAAAAUUUAGUUCCUACUCCAGUGGGACUUAGAGUCUGGUGGAGGAGAUGAACACAUAGUCAUAUGGAUAGCAUAAAAUCAGUGCCACACUGGAGAACCUGGGUCUCACUCUGUCCCCUAGGCUGGAAUGC